UACGAAGGGGGCUAGCGUUGCUCGGAAUCACUGGGCGUAAAGGGUGCGUAGGCGGGUCUUUAAGUCAGGGGUGAAGUCCUGGAGCUCAACUCCAGAACUGCCUUUGAUACUGAAGAUCUUGAGUGCGGGAGAGGUGAGUGGAACUGCGAGUGUAGAGGUGAAAUUCGUAGAUAUUCGCAAGAACACCAGUGGCGAAGGCGGCUCACUGGCCCGGUACUGACGCUGAGGUGCGAAAGCGUGGGGAGCAAACAGG
rnacentral:rRNA from 1 species